rnacentral:rRNA from 1 species
GAUGAACGCUGGCGGCGUGCCUAAUACAUGCAAGUCGAGCGAACGGACGAGAAGCUUGCUUCUCUGAUGUUAGCGGCGGACGGGUGAGUAACACGUGGAUAACCUACCUAUAAGACUGGGAUAACUUCGGGAAACCGGAGCUAAUACCGGAUAAUAUUUUGAACCGCAUGGUUCAAAAGUGAAAGACGGUCUUGCUGUCACUUAUAGAUGGAUCCGCGCUGCAUUAGCUAGUUGGUAAGGUAACGGCUUACCAAGGCAACGAUGCAUAGCCGACGUGAGGGGGGGAUGGCCCACCGAGAAGGUGAGCCGCGGCCCAGGCCCCGAGGGGAGGCACAGGUGGGGAAGCUACGCAAAAGGGGGAAAGCCUGCAGGAUGAACGCCAGGGUGAUGAAGAAAGGCUGCGGGCGGGAAAACUUUUUUUUGGGGGAAAAACAUUUUUGUAAGUAACGGAGCGCAUGUGACGGUAACCGAAAAAGAAACCCCGGCUAACCACGGG